rnacentral:rRNA from 1 species
AAGAAUGAGCCGUCUGCGGACGGAAGUUGACGGUACCCGUAGGAAUAAGCACCGGCUAACUACGUGCCAGCAGCCGCGGUAAUACGUAGGGUGCAAGCGUUGUCCGGAUUUACUGGGUUUAAAGGGUACGUAGGCGGUUGUGCCAAGUCUGGGGUGAAAGUUUGCAGCUCAACUGUAAAAAUUGCCUUGGAUACUGGUCGGCUAGAGUAGUGGAGCGGUGGCUGGAAUUUAUAGUGUAGCGGUGAAAUGCUUAGAUACUAUGAGGAACACCAAUUGCGAAGGCAGGUCACUGGUCACUAACUGACGCUGAGGUACGAAAGUGUGGGGAUCAAACAGGAUUAGAUACCCUGGUAG